GACCGAAUGGCGUAGUGGUUAGUGAACCUGACUACUGAGCCGAUGGUCCCGGGUUCGAUUCCCGGCUGGGGCA
rnacentral:tRNA from 1 species